UAUGAAGGUCCAGGUGUGCAGACAUGCCUGGUCUGAGGAUAUUAAAACAGCAUGUUGGAGAAUGACACCGAUGUGGCACCCAGAUAAAAGUCCUGAGACUAAAGAAGAAGCAGAGAGAAAAUUCAGAUGAGCAGUGGAGGCAUAUGAGGCGCUGCUGUCUGAUGCUAGAAAAAAAAAAAAGGGACGUUUAUGACAAAGAAGGAUUAGACAGAGGAAGGAGGUGGAAUGCAUUUUGACAUCCGUUUGAGGUUGAUUCACCCUCCAUAACUCAGAUGAUGUCUUCAGGGAAUUUUUGGUGGGAGGGACCCAUUUUCAUUCAACUUCUUUGAAGACCCAUUUGAGGACUUUUUUGGGAAUCAAAGGAGUCGCCAAGGGAGGGGGUCGUUUUUCUCCGCUUUCAGUGGAUUUCCGUCUUUUGGAAGUGGAUUUUCUUCUUUUGAUGAAGAUUUUCUUCAUUUGGAUCACUAGGUCACAGGGCCUCACUUCAUUCUCUUCCACGUCAUUUGUGGUAGUGGAAUGGCAACUUCAAAUCUAUAUCAACUUCUACUAGAAAUGGUUAACGGCAGAAACAUCACUAAAAAGAGUUGUUGGGAAUGGCGGAGAAAGGGUAGAAAUGGGAGAAGACGGCCAGCAUAAGGAGCAGCUGCUGCGCUUGCAUGCAAAGUCAUCGAACAAA
rnacentral:lncRNA from 1 species